GCCUGUGGCCCUACAGAACCUCAGGCUUUUCUCAAAGUGGCAGCCACAGAGCAGGCAGCAGACACCAUGGGAUUCCUUUCAGUCUCUACCCACAGAGGACUUGUCCACUGGCAAGGGCUCCUGAUGGUGGUCUCACUCUUAAACUUCUGGUGCCUGGCCACCACAGAUGAACUGGGUAUUUUUGAAGGAAAUGUUACUGAAGGGGAGAAUAUUCUUUUUCCUUUCGACAAUGCGACCCCCAACUUUGCUCGCAUCAAAUGGUAUAGAGGGAAAGGCAUGGACGAGGGUUGGAAAAUUGCAUUUCUUAUAGCAAACUCGUUAUAGCACAUAAGAGGUCCUGCAGAGGGACAUGUGAUAAUAAACUAUGAUGGGUCCUUGAUGCUAGUAAAUGUCACCAUGGAUGACACAGGGAUAUGCCCUGUAGUACUGGAAUGUCCAGAUGUAAGAAUGCUAACAGGAUAUGUAUACCUUAAUGUACAUGGAUCUGUGAGAAAGCCAACCCUCCUAGCCAGCAACACCACAGUCACCGAGAAUAAGGAUGCUGUGGUCUUGACCUGCUACACAAAUAUGACCUCCACACAGUGGUUGUUCAAUGGCAGAGAUUUGCAGCUCAUGAAAAGAAUGAAACUGUCCCAGGACCACAGAAGCCUCAACAUAGACGCUGUCCAGAGGGCGGAUGCUGGUCAUUGCCAGUGUAAUGUCUCUGACUCCAUCCUUUCUGUUAAAAGUGCUCCACUUAACCUGGAUGUGAAAUUUGAGUGACCCCCCUUUCCCCUUCUAUGUUGUUAAACUCUAAAUAAAGUGU